CAAAGUUUCGACGGAUAGGGAUGAGUCUGCGUCUGAUUAGGUAGUUGGUGAGGUAACGGCUCACCAAGCCGACGAUCAGUAACUGGUCUGAGAGGACGAACAGUCACACUGGAACUGAGACACGGUCCAGACUCCUACGGGAGGCAGCAGUGAGGAAUAUUGCACAAUGGGAGGAAUCCUGAUGCAGCGACGCCGCGUGCGGGAUGAAGGGGCUUAGCCUCGUAAACCGCUGUCGGAGGGGACGAAUGGUACAUUUGAUGUACUGAGACGGUACCCUCAAAGGAAGGAUCGGCUAACUACGUGCCAGCAGCCGCGGUAAUACGUAGGAUCCGAGCGUUGUCCGGAAUUACUGGGUGUAAAGGGUGCGUAGGCGGACUUGUGCGUCAGAGGUGAAAUCCACGGGCUUAACCCGUGGGGUGCCUUUGAUACGGCAAGUCUUGAGUGCGAGAGAGGUGGGUGGAAUUCCUGGUGUAGCAGUGAAAUGCGUAGAUAUCAGGAGGAACACCGAUGGC
rnacentral:rRNA from 1 species